rnacentral:rRNA from 1 species
UACGAAGGGGGCUAGCGUUGUUCGGAAUUACUGGGCGUAAAGGGCGCGCAGGCGGCGGUGCUGGCCCGGCGUGAAAGCCCCCGGCUCAACCGGGGAGGGUCGUCGGGGACCGCACCGCUUGAGGGCGGUAGGGGCUGGUGGAAUGCCUGGUGUAGUGGUGAAAUGCGUAGAGAUCAGGCGAAACACCCGUGGCGAAGGCGGCCAGCUGGGCCGACCCUGACGCUGAGGCGCGAAGGCGUGGGGAGCGAACGGG